GACGUAGGGUCCGAGCGUUGUCCGGAGUUACUGGGCGUAAAGCGCGCGCAGGCGGUUCGAUACGUCGGGUGUGAAAGCCCCCCGCUCAACGGGGGAGGGUCAUUCGAAACGGUCGAACUGGAGGCAGGGAGAGGUCGGUGGAAUUCCCGGUGUAGUGGUGAAAUGCGUAGAGAUCGGGAGGAACACCAGUGGCGAAGGCGGCCGACUGGACCUGGCCUGACGCUGAGGCGCGAAGGCGUGGGGAGCGAACGGG
rnacentral:misc_RNA from 1 species